GCAUCGGCCUCCUCCGCUGGCGGCGGCGCUGCCCGGCUGACCGCUGCCUCUCUCCUUCGACGCAGUUCGCGCACGCAGUGGCCACCCACAAGCGCCGCCGUCCGCAUCCGCUGGUCCGCGCUCGAUGUGCCGACGGCGGCAGAGCUCUCGGGGGAUCCCAGCCUUCUCCAGAAACGUCCAGCCUCUCCUCGCCGGCCACCCGGAGCACGGCAACCUCCACGAGCUCCCGGCGGUCUUCGUCCCCCUCCACGGCUGGUUCUUCGAUGCCGAUGAUUUAGGCCAGAGAUGAGAUUCAGACAGGGGAAAUACCGGGCUCGGAAUGUCGCGAGAUGGCGGUGCUCAGUGCUAAAUCUGCACAAUGGCUACCAAUUAAUGUGUCGCAAGUACGGCUCAAUUUCAUUGCAGCUUGUUUGAUGGUAGCUACCACUUCAAAUUUGUGUCCUCAAGAGUACUUCAAACAUCUCCGAGCAAGGACUAGUCGAAUGAACAUGCUGGAUGGCGCGCACAAGGUGGAAUGGGAGAACCCGGUGUCAGGGAGGAACUCCGAUGCAAGUCCAUUGGUGUCUCUGAUGCUGCUUGGCGUAAUUCCUGUCCGAAAGUUGCAGCCGACUUCCCGUCAGAAACUUCGCCCAUUGCUGUUGACCAGCACGUAGGUUCCGACAGUAGGUGGAGCGACUCAAGGAGCGGCAGAGCUCCCUCUUCGACUUCCAGCUCAGUCAUGACUUCCACCACGAUGCAUAGGUGUCUCAGGCUUUCGAGUGCACCUUCU